rnacentral:rRNA from 1 species
CAAUAGCGUAUAUUAAAGUUGUUGCAGUUAAAAAGCUCGUAGUUGGAUUUCUGGUCGGAAGCUCCUGUCCUCUGAUGAGCGUACAAGUGCGUCCUACCAUCCUUCUGUUAACCUUUAAGGCUUUCGCGGCUCUCUAGGGGCUCAGAUAUUUUACCUUGAGAAAAUUAGAGUGUUUCAGGCAGGCUAGCGCCGGAAUACAUUAGCAUGGAAUAAUGGAAUAGGACUUUUGCCUCUUCUGUUGGUCAUGAGGCUCGAGUAAUGAUUAAUAGGGAUAGUUGGGGGCAUUAGUACUUAACUGUCAGAGGUGAAAUUCUCGGAUUUGUUAAAGACUAACUUAUGCGAAAGCAUUUGCCAAGGAUGUUUUCAUUA